UAGAACGCUGAAGCUUGGUGCUUGCACCGAGCGGAUGAGUUGCGAACGGGUGAGUAACGCGUAGGUAACCUGCCUCUUAGCGGGGGAUAACUAUUGGAAACGAUAGCUAAUACCGCAUAAAAGUCGACGUCGCAUGAUGUUGACUUGAAAGGUGCAAUUGCAUCACUAAGAGAUGGACCUGCGUUGUAUUAGCUAGUUGGUGAGGUAACGGCUCACCAAGGCGACGAUACAUAGCCGACCUGAGAGGGUGAUCGGCCACACUGGGACUGAGACACGGCCCAGACUCCUACGGGAGGCAGCAGUAGGGAAUCUUCGGCAAUGGGGGCAACCCUGACCGAGCAACGCCGCGUGAGUGAAGAAGGUUUUCGGAUCGUAAAGCUCUGUUGUAAGAGAAGAACGAGUGUGAGAGUGGAAAGUUCACACUGUGACGGUAACUUACCAGAAAGGGACGGCUAACUACGUGCCAGCAGCCGCGGUAAUACGUAGGUCCCGAGCGUUAUCCGGAUUUAUUGGGCGUAAAGCGAGCGCAGGCGGUUAGAUAAGUCUGAAGUUAAAGGCUGUGGCUUAACCAUAGUACGCUUUGGAAACUGUUUAACUUGAGUGCAGAAGGGGAGAGUGGAAUU
rnacentral:rRNA from 1 species